UGGCUGUCGUCAGCUCGUGUCGUGAGAUGUUCGGUUAAGUCCGGCAACGAGCGCAACCCGCAUUGUCAGUUUGCCACCAGGUCAUGCUGGGCACUCUGGCGAAUGCCCGUGUUAAGCGGGAGGAAGGUGCGGAUGACGUCAAGUCAGUAUGGCCCUUACGCCCAGGGCUGCACACGUGCUACAAUGGCCGGUACAAUGGGAAGCAAGACCGCAAGGUGGAGCGAAUCCUAAAAACCGGCCCCAGUUCAGAUUGCAGUCUGCAACCCGACUGCAUGAAGCCGGAAUCGCUAGUAAAGGCGUAUCAGCUACGACCGCCUUCCGAAUACGUUCCGGCCUU
rnacentral:rRNA from 1 species